UGGGGAAUUUCUGGUGUAGCGGUGAAAUGCGUAGAGAUCAGAAGGAACACCAAUGGCGAAGGCAACAUUCUGGACCAAUACUGACACUGAGGGACGAAAGCGUGGGGAUCAAACAGGAUUAGAUACCCUGGUAGUCCACGCUGUAAACGAUGAGUACUAGCUGUUGGAUUCGGUGUAAAGGAUCUAGUGGUGUAGCUAACGCGUUAAGUACUCCGCCUGGGGACUACGGCCGCAAGGCUAAAACUCAAAGGAAUUGACGGGGACCCGCACAAGCGGUGGAGCAUGUGGUUUAAUUCGAUGCAACGCGAAGAACCUUACCUGGUCUUGACAUCCCCCCCCCCCUUCUAGAGAUAGAUUGGUGCCUUCGGGAACGCAGUGACAGGUGCUGCACGGCUGUCGUCAGCUCGUGUUGUGAAAUGUUGGGUUAAGUCCCGCAACGAGCGCAACCCCUAUUGAUAGUUACCAUCAUUAAGUUGGGUACUCUAUUGAGACUGCCGCUGACAAGGCGGAGGAAGGUGGGGACGACGUCAAGUCAUCAUGGCCCUUACGACCAGGGCUACACACGUGCUACAAUGGGUAUUACAGAGGGCAGCGAAGUAGCGAUAUGGAGGGGAACUCAGAAAGGUACUCUUAGUCCGGAUUGCAGUAUGCAACUCGCCUGCAUGAAGUCGGAAUCGCUAGUAA
rnacentral:rRNA from 1 species